rnacentral:rRNA from 1 species
UUGACCUCGGAUCAGGUAGGGAUACCCGCUGAACUUAAGCAUAUCAAUAAGCGGAGGAAAAGAAACCAACAGGGAUUGCCUCAGUAACGGCGAGUGAAGCGGCAACAGCUCAAAUUUGAAAUCUGGCUCUUUCAGGGUCCGAGUUGUAAUUUGUAGAGGAUGUUUCGGGUGUGGCUCCGGUCUAAGUUCCUUGGAACAGGACGUCAUAGAGGGUGAGAAUCCCGUAUGUGACUGGUAGCCUACGCCCAUGUGAAACUCCUUCGACGAGUCGAGUUGUUUGGGAAUGCAGCUCAAAAUGGGUGGUAAAUUUCAUCUAAAGCUAAAUAUUGGCCAGAGACCGAUAGCGCACAAGUAGAGUGAUCGAAAGAUGAAAAGCACUUUGGAAAGAGAGUUAAACAGUACGUGAAAUUGUUGAAAGGGAAGCGCUUGCAACCAGACUUGCAU